rnacentral:rRNA from 1 species
UGCAGUCGAACGGUAGAGUUUCUAGCUUGCUAGAGACUUGAGAGUGGCGGACGGGUGAGUAACGCGUAGGAAUCUGUCCAUUAGACUGGGACAACACGGGGAAACUCGUGCUAAUACUGGAUAAGUUCUAUGGAAGAAAGGUGGGAGGUAACUCCUAUCGCUAAUGGGUGAGCCUGCGUUGGAUUAGCUAGUUGGUGGGGUAAAGGCCUACCAAGGCGACGAUCCAUAGCUGUUCUGAGAGGAAGAUCAGCCACACUGGGACUGAGACACGGCCCAGACUCCUACGGGAGGCAGCAGUGGGGAAUAUUGGACAAUGGGCGCAAGCCUGAUCCAGCAAUACCGCGUGUGUGAAGAAGGCCUGAGGGUUGUAAAGCACUUUCAGCGAGGAGGAAGGCUAAUACNUUAAUACCGUAUUANAUUGACGUUNCUCGNANAANAAGCNNCGGCUAACUCUGUGCCAGCAGCCGCGGNAAUACANANGGUGCAAGCGUUA